GUGGUCAUGGUGUAAUGGUUAACACUGCAGUUUGUGGAACUGCUGAUGAGAGUUCGAUUCUCUCUGGCCACC
rnacentral:tRNA from 1 species